rnacentral:rRNA from 1 species
UGCAAGUCGAGCGGUAAGGCCCUUCGGGGUACACGAGCGGCGAACGGGUGAGUAACACGUGAGCAACCUGCCCCUGACUCCGGGAUAAGCGGUGGAAACGCCGUCUAAUACCGGAUACGACCCUCCUCCGCAUGGUGGGGGGUGGAAAGUUUUUUCGGUCGGGGAUGGGCUCGCGGCCUAUCAGCUUGUUGGUGGGGUAACGGCCUACCAAGGCGAUUACGGGUAGCCGGCCUGAGAGGGCGACCGGCCACACUGGGACUGAGACACGGCCCAGACUCCUGCGGGAGGCAGCAGUGGGGAAUAUUGCGCAAUGGGCGAAAGCCUGACGCAGCGACGCCGCGUGGGGGAUGACGGCCUUCGGGUUGUAAACCUCUUUUACCACUCACGCAGGCCCCACGUUUUCGUGGGGUUGACGGUAGGUGGGGAAUAAGGACCGGCUAACUACGUGCCAGCAGCCGCGGUAAUACGUAGGGUCCGAGCGUUGUCCGGAAUUAUUGGGCGUAAAGAGCUCGUAGGCGGCGUGUCGCGUCUGCUGUGAAAGACCGGGGCUUAACCCCGGUUCUGCAGUGGAUACGGGCAUGCUAGAGGUAGGUAGGGGAGACUGGAAUUCCUGGUGUAGCGGUGAAAUGCGCAGAUAUCAGGAGGAACACCGGUGGCGAAGGCGGGUCUCUGGGCCUUACCUGACGCUGA